rnacentral:rRNA from 1 species
UACGGAGGAUGCAAUCGUUAUCCGGAAUGAUUGGGCGUAAAGCGUCCGCAGGUGGCUGUGUAAGUCUGCUGUUAAAGAGUGAGGCUCAACCUCAUAAAAGCAGUGGAAACUACACAGCUAGAGUGCGUUCGGGGCAGAGGGAAUUCCUGGUGUAGCGGUGAAAUGCGUAGAGAUCAGGAAGAACACCGGUGGCGAAGGCGCUCUGCUAGGCCGCAACUGACACUGAGGGACGAAAGCUAGGGGAGCGAAUGGG